CAGUAGCCACGGUAAUGCGAAGGGGGCUAGCGUUGCUCGGAAUGACUGGGCGUAAAGGGCGCGUAGGCGGAUGGCACAGUCAGAUGUGAAAUUCCCGGGCUUAACCUGGGGGCUGCAUUUGAUACGUGUUGUCUAGAGUGAGGAAGAGGGUUGUGGAAUUCCCAGUGUAGAGGUGAAAUUCGUAGAUAUUGGGAAGAACACCGGUGGCGAAGGCGGCAACCUGGUCCUUGACUGACGCUGAGGCGCGAAAGCGUGGGGAGCAAACAGGAUUAGAGACCCCAGUAGUCCCUGUCUCUUAUAC
rnacentral:rRNA from 1 species